CACGUAGGGCGCAAGCGUUGUCCGGAAUUACUGGGCGUAAAGGGCUCGUAGGCGGCCAACUAAGUCAGACGUGAAAUCCCUCGGCUUAACCGGGGAACUGCGUCUGAUACUGGAUGGCUUGAGGUUGGGAGAGGGAUGCGGAAUUCCAGGUGUAGCGGUGAAAUGCGUAGAUAUCUGGAGGAACACCGGUGGCGAAGGCGGCAUCCUGGACCAAUUCUGACGCUGAGGAGCGAAAGCCAGGGGAGCAAACGGG
rnacentral:rRNA from 1 species